GCGAGGAUAGCUAAGCCUGGUCAACGGCGCUAGAUUCAGGGUCUAGUCCUUAGUGGUUCAGCGGUUCGAAUCCGCUUCCUCGCA
rnacentral:tRNA from 1 species